rnacentral:tRNA from 1 species
AAGCCUUGAGGUGUUUUACAUAUUAGAUUGCAAAUCUAAAGAAGUAGAUUAGUCGUCUACCGGGGCUUUCC